UGGGGAAUAUUGCGCAAUGGGGGGAACCCUGACGCAGCCAUGCGCGUGAAUGAAGAAGGCCUUCGGGUUGUAAAGUUCUUUCGGUAUUGAGGAAGGUUGAUGUGUUAAUAGCACAUCAAAUUGACGUUAAAUACAGAAGAAGCACCGGCUAACUCCGUGCCAGCAGCCGCGGUAAUACGGAGGGUGCGAGCGUUAAUCGGAAUAACUGGGCGUAAAGNNCACNCAGGCGGUUAUUUAAGUGAGGUGUGAAAGCCCCGGGCUUAACCUGGGAAUUGCAUUUCAGACUGGGUAACUAGAGUACUUUAGGGAGGGGUAGAAUUCCACGUGUAGCGGUGAAAUGCGUAGAGAUGUGGAGGAAUACCGAAGGCGAAGCNAGCCCCUUGGGAAUGUACUGACGCUCAUGUGCGAAAGCUUGGGGAGCAAACAGGAUUAGAUACCCUGGUAGUCCACGCUGUAAACGCUGUCGAUUUGGGGGUUGGGGUUUAACUCUGGCGCCCGUAGCUAACGUGAUAAAUCGACCGCCUGGGGAGUACGGCCGCAAGUUA
rnacentral:rRNA from 1 species